CCUACGGGAGGCAGCAGUGGGGAAUCUUGCGCAAUGGGCGAAAGCCUGACGCAGCCAUGCCGCGUGAAUGAUGAAGGUCUUAGGAUUGUAAAAUUCUUUCAGCGGGGACGAUAAUGACGGUACCCGCAGAAGAAGCCCCGGCUAACUUCGUGCCAGCAGCCGCGGUAAUACGAAGGGGGCUAGCGUUGCUCGGAAUUACUGGGCGUAAAGGGAGCGUAGGCGGAUAGUUUAGUCAGAGGUGAAAGCCCAGGGCUCAACCUUGGAAAUGCCUUUGAUACUGGCUAUCUUGAGUAUGGGAGAGGUAAGCGGAAUUCCGAGUGUAGAGGUGAAAUUCGUAGAUAUUCGGAAGAACACCAGUGGCGAAGGCGGCUUACUGGCCCAUUACUGACGCUGAGGCUCGAAAGCGUGGGGAGCAAACAGGAUUAGAUACCCUGGUAGUCCACGCUGUAAACGAUGAGUGCUAGUUGUCGGCAUGCAUGCAUGUCGGUGACGCAGCUACGCCUAACGUACACUCCGCCGUCGGGAGGUACGGUCGCGAGAUUAAACUACAAGAAGUAGACGCGUGAGAGNGCGACGACGACGACGAGGGAGAGG
rnacentral:rRNA from 1 species